AGACCCGAAACCCGGUGAUCUAGCCAUGGGCAGGUUGAAGGUUGGGUAACACUAACUGGAGGACCGAACCGACUAAUGUUGAAAAAUUAGCGGAUGACCUGUGGCUGGGGGUGAAAGGCCAAUCAAACCGGGAGAUAGCUGGUUCUCCCCGAAAGCUAUUUAGGUAGCGCCUCGUGAAUUCAUCUCCGGGGGUAGAGCACUGUUUCGGCUAGGGGGCCAUCCCGGCUUACCAACCCGAUGCAAACUGCGAAUACCGGAGAAUGUUAUCACGGGAGACACACGGCGGGUGCUAACGUCCGUCGUGAAGAGGGAAACAACCCAGACCGCCAGCUAAGGUCCCAAAGUCAUGGUUAAGUGGGAAACGAUGUGGGAAGGCCCAGACAGCCAGGAUGUUGGCUUAGAAGCAGCCAUCAUUUAAAGAAAGCGUAAUAGCUCACUGGUCGAGUCGGCCUGCGCGGAAGAUGUAACGGGGCUAAACCAUGCACCGAAGCUGCGGCAGCGAACGUAUCACCCAAGACAACUUUACGGAGUUGACGAUUGACGGAGCGAAGCGACGUCAAAGCGUUCAUUAAAGUCGAGUUGGCUUAGGGAUACGUUCGUUGGGUAGGGGAGCGUUCUGUAAGCCUGUGAAGGUGUGUCGUGAGGCAUGCUGGAGGUAUCAGAAGUGCGAAUGCUGACAUAAGUAACGAUAAAGCGGGUGAAAAGCCCGCUCGCCGGAAGACCAAGGGUUCCUGUCCAACGUUAAUCGGGGCAGGGUGAGUCGACCCCUAAGGCGAGGCCGAAAGGCGUAGUCGAUGGGAAACGGGUUAAUAUUCCCGUACUUGGUGUUACUGCGAAGGGGGGACGGAGAAGGCUAUGUUGGCCGGGCGACGGUUGUCCCGGUUU
rnacentral:rRNA from 1 species